AGGGACAUCUCAACAAAACUGGCAAACCAGAAGGCUUCCUAAAGAACUUGAACCUGGAGCCUUGAGUGCUAGACAAGAAGUUCCACCAUUGAGAUGCAUCUGCAGUCAUCUCUUAUUUUAUUUUGAAGCAGGUACUUACUUGUUAAGUUGCCUAGUCUGGAUGUAGAGGCAGACAUGUGAUCUUCCUACUUCAGUCCCCAAGCAACUGGGACUACAGUUGGUGGAUAGGCUGAAGGAUCAACCCACAAAUCAUGACUUACUCACUCCUAUGACAAGGUUAUAUUCUGAAGCAACCUAGAGAUGGCCAGGCACCUGUCAGAUCAUUAGCAUACAAAUAAACAUUCACUGGGAAUAGUUCAAGGAUUUUAAAGGCUUUGGGCCUGGAAACUGGAAUGAAGACCAAAUAUGUAUUUUACAACAACACAAAGGAAUUAAAGGAAUGAAAGAAAGCCAGCACCUGCCCAUCAACCAGUACAGCCCUGGUAGAGACUCUGGCUCUGCGACCAUUGACAGACGGAGCCUUGGGUUCUUCAUGGUGCAGCUUACCUGGACAUUUUAGUAUGCUGAGCAGCACCUAAAGUCCACCUGCAAACUCUGUUCUCACCUGAAUUUUGGCAAGCAAAAAAUGCUUGCAUUUGAGUGUUUCCUUGAGUUGCAAAACUAAAAACUGUUGUUCUAAAAAUGUCUCUGAAAACCAUGGGUGGUUGGUGACUUACAGUAUAUAUGUACAGCAAUGAGAAGAACUCAUAUCUUGUAUGCAAAUUCUACAUCACGAAAAGGUCAGUAAGAAAUUAAACUAUUUAUAAAGCAA